GAAACUGACUGGAGCUACUACCAGUGUCUCUUAGCAGCCACUUAAAGGGAAAGCUUCUCCUUUAUCUUCCUGAAAAAAGAAUAAAUAACACAGGGGUCUACACGUUUUGUGGGGAGAAUAAGAAAGGAAUAAGGAGGAGUCAGUAUCUGGGAACCACAAGCAAGAACGAAGUUUUUAGUUUUCCUCUGAGGUUGUCGGUGGUCUGAAGGUUUUGAAGAGGCACCAGCCUGGGCUCAAAACAGCUUGGAGAGACG